UCAUAUAGUAUUAAACCGAACUGUUUUCCUUAUAGACACAAUUUAUUUUUACACACACACACACACACACACAACAUAUGUAAAUAACAAUGUUAAAAUAGUA
ensembl:miRNA Mir1187 microRNA 1187